UUAGGAAUCUUCCACAAUGGGGGCAACCCUGAUGGAGCAACACCGCGUGCUGGAUGAAGGCCUUCGGGUCGUAAACAGCUUUUGUAUACGAAGAAUAUGACGGUAAUAUACGAAUAAGGGUCGGCUAACUACGUGCCAGCAGCCGCGGUCAUACGUAGGACCCAAGCGUUAUCCGGAGUGACUGGGCGUAAAGAGUUGCGUAGGCGGCUUAUUAAGCGAGUAGUGAAAUCUGGUGGCUCAACCAUCAACCCAUUGCUCGAACUGAUAGGCUUGAGAAUGGUAGAGGUAGUUGGAAUUUCUUGUGUAGGAGUGAAAUCCGUAGAUAUAAGAAGGAACACCAAUGGCGUAGGCAGACUACUGGACCAUUUCUGACGCUGAGGCACGAAAGCGUGGGGAGCGA
rnacentral:rRNA from 1 species